rnacentral:rRNA from 1 species
UACGGAGGAGGCAAGCGUUAUCCGGAAUUAUUGGGCGUAAAGCGUCCGCAGGUGGCUAUGUAAGUCUGCUGUUAAAGAGUGAGGCUCAACCUCAUAAGAGCAGUGGAAACUACAUGGCUAGAGUGCGUUCGGGGCAGAGGGAAUUCCUGGUGUAGCGGUGAAAUGCGUAGAGAUCAGGAAGAACACCGGUGGCGAAAGCGCUCUGCUAGGCCGCAACGGACACUCAUGGACGAAAGCUAGGGAGCGAAUGGG